rnacentral:tRNA from 1 species
ACCUGGGUGGCUCAGUCGGUUGAGCAUCUGCCUUCAGCUCAGGUCAUGAUCCUGGAAUCAUGGGAUCGAGCCCCAUAUCGGGCU